UGUCUGCGGUUCCGGGAGAAUGGAAAAAGUGUACCAGCACAUCGUGUUUUGCAUAGCUUGUUUUCAGCACAAGUAUACCAGUGUCCAAUAUUUCAUGGCAGGGGAAUGGCUCCAAUCAAUAUCUCUCUAGUCAUCAUUCUUCUAUGUUUGUUUCAAAAUUCAAUCGUGGAAACUAAAAACGUGUGCACGAAAUGGUGGAAAAACGACAAGUUGGCCAACGAUAAUUGCUUCACUAGUUGCGCAGACAAGUAUGGUCGGCCGACCUCAAGGGGAAAAUUGCCCAGCGGGAUGGGAUUACUCAUCGUUCAGCCUCCGUUCGCGAAAGGCCGCUGUGUCUCAAAGAAGUGCGUCUGUUAUGUCAACACUCCGUACAGGAAACUCCUAUCAGUGAAGGACAAAGCUAGGGCCUGGUGUAUUUUCACAAAGUUUGCAAAAAGGUCUUCAAGAAACUUCAAACAAAAUUUGCGAAGGAUCCAACUCUAAGCGCGUAUAACCAUUUAGUUCCAGGGUUCGUGGGGCGCUGACAAUUCCUUGAAUGUACUUCCAGUUUAUCUUCGACUUUCAAGUCCUUGAAUAUUUACAAAUUUCGGAAAACCUAUUGAAGCCACUCGAAAGUCCCCGGAUUAUUCUGGCGUGCUAAGGAAGAACAUCGCAUGAGCCGUCAGACGUUGCCAAAUUUCCACCGAUAAAAUACGAAUUUUCACGGAAACUGUUUUCAGACAAUUUUGUACACACUUUAGGCUAAAAUAUCUCAAAAUUUCAAGGAAAACUAUGCGCAACUUUCCUGACAAAUGCAUUAUUUAUCCGGAGAAAUUUGGCAACUCUCGAAUGAACAUACGGCGUUCUUCCAUAGCACGGCAGUAUUGUCAUCGGAUGUUUCCGUUCUCGUCGUUUGCAAGACUGGUCUCUCACGUUGUUCAUUUUUCCUAGGUUCUCUUUGCGUGUCCAUGCAGAUAUCAGAGCGCACUGCUGUAAUAUAUGGAGGGAAUCUCAAUUUAUAAGGCAGUAUUCGGGGUCUUUAAAAGUUUUUGCAAGAUUUUGAAAGUCUGAAAUAUCAAUUUGAGCCCCUUCUAACGUCCUUGACUAUGAUGAAUCCUGAAUCCACAGUGCCACGUCAUGUUUGGGGAGGACUUUUGCCGCGCGAAAUGCCAAUUUUUUUCUGUUGACUAAAAGUAAAAAAAGUAAUCAAAACCACAGAGAGAAAUGAAGGAGAGGAGAGCUUUAUACACGUGUGCCGCCUUUCCAUUGUCCAUUAUUGAAACUAUUUUGGUCAAAUUUUGAUCUUUUUUAAACCCUACUAUUCGAUCAAGGACCCUCUUAAAAAAAAAGUAGCAGGACCUAUUAUGCAUUUUAAUUUUGAUACUUUGAAAAUUUGGAACACUGGAAUAGUAUCAAGGGCGCAGCAUCCGUAUGUGAACGCGAUUUGAUGGCACUGACUUGUUUUAUUCCUUUUCCCCCGGAGACUCAGUUGUAGUGGGUUUUCCAUCUCGGUCAUAAUGAAGAAAAUUCUGAGAGCGGAUUCACUUUGAUUUCCUAGUGAAAGUGAAAGAAGAGACCGCAUUUUGUAACGUUAUAGUAGGUCAGACCGCGUCUCCAAACGACGUUAAAGAUCAAUCUCAGUUGAGCAACUAUUCGAACGCCAGUGCGAGCACAUUGCAUAGACGGCGGAUUGAAGGAGCAUCAUUGGGACGGAUAUAACCGAAUUCACAACGCAAGAAACUCACGAGAAGCCAGACAGCGCUGCGCUGCGCGUCAGCAAUCACUGAAACCCCAAAGUGUGUAUUAGUCGUGCAAAUUAUUUCUAUUAUAAGCCAUAAAAUAUGAAAAAAUAUAUAAUUUUUGUUACUAGUCAAAAUUUUAAUCAAAUUAAUGCUACAGAAUUUACUUUGUAUCUAGUAAUUCUUAUCACAAGAAUUCACGUUUUUUGCUCAUAAAUAUUAAGACUUGCAAGCUUUUGCGAAUAUUAUGUUCCCCUCC
rnacentral:lncRNA from 1 species